rnacentral:rRNA from 1 species
CAACUUCGUUUAUAAGAUCCCUCAAAGAUGAUGAGGUUAAUAGGUUCGAGGUGGAAGCGUAGCGAUACGUGGAGCUGACGAAUACUAAUCGAUCGAAGACUUAAUCAAUUU